CCAUAUUGAUUUCUGAAGUAUUUACUAGCUUGCUGCUUCGUACACAUCCUAAUCAAAGUUAAAGUGAUGAUGCAACAUACAGUUUAUUGUUCCCAACUAGCAAAGUGUCCGUGUUGAAACAGAUUCAAAAUAGACUAAUACAUGUUCACAAACUUGAAAAAAGAUCACCCUGUGUUAUGACCGGCCAGGUUUAUAGCCGGCGGGCCAAGGGCAGUAGGCCCAAUAACAGUUAGGGGCUUAGCUCAGUUAUCUUAUUUUUAUUAGCAGCUAUGAGAUUAUAAAUACUCAUGUAAUCACCUAUUUUGGAAUUAAGAAGUAGCAAACCUAUUUGCUNNNNNNNNNNNNNNNNNNNNNNNNNNNNNNNNNNNNNNNNNNNNNNNNNNNNNNNNNNNNNNNNNNNNNNNNNNNNNNNNNNNNNNNNNNNNNNNNNNNNNNNNNNNNNNNNNNNNNNNNNNNNNNNNNNNNNNNNNNNNNNNNNNNNNNNNNNNNNNNNNNNNNNNNNNNNNNNNNNNNNNNNNNNNNNNNNNNNNNNNNNNNNNNNNNNNNNNNNNNNNNNNNNNNNNNNNNNNNNNNNNNNNNNAUCACCCAUAUAACCUACACCCUCGCCCUAGUAGGAGGCCAACUCCUAUCAAUAUGGUAUCAAGUGUCUCAGGCUCGAUCAUGUCCGCUCCUCAGCCCACCUCCUCCCUGUCGCCACCCGUCAUCACCACACCGCCGGCCCUCGCGGGAUUGAUCGCCACCACCCCGCCACCCGCCGCCGCGCCCUAUGCCUUCACGACCGAGGAGAUGACGACGACGCUUCAGGAGCUUGGCCACGCGAUCGCGGGCAUCCACACUUUUCUUGCGGCCCUCUAUGCCCCGUCGCCGCCAGGUAGUUUCGCCGUCACCGCGGCCAAUGGUCGCCGUCACCCGUCUCAGCCGCCUCGUCCUCCCAGGGAGCCGCGAUGACCCCGGCCCGGGGGUUCCAAUGCACCAGAUCCGAUUUCCCCCAUCGCCGUCUCCGUUGCCGUCAUGGCUGUCCGGUCUACACGACNNNNNNNNNNNNNNNNNNNNNNNNNNNNNNNNNNNNNNNNNNNNNNNNNNNNNNNNNNNNNNNNNNNNNNNNNNNNNNNNNNNNNNNNNNNNNNNNNNNNNNNNNNNNNNNNNNNNNNNNNNNNGCACGACGGCCCUGGUCCAGCUGCACCUUCCGUCGCCUGGAUUGCCUCCCCAGUACUCCGGCGGGCCCUCCGGCGCUGCCGUGCCCUACGGUGGCAUCGACUUGCCCCUCUUCCAUGGCGGGCCCCUGAUGCCCGCCUUCUCGGCAACCUCGGGCUCGCUGUUCGGCACCGAGGGCGUGCUUUCGUCCACUUUUUCCUCUACACAGCCGCCGCGCUUCUCCAAGCUCGAGUUCGCUACCUACGACGACACCAUUGACCCCCUCAUCUGGCUCAACCAAUGCGAGCAGUUUUUCCGGGAGCACGCACUCUCGUGUCCGACCGCACCUGGAUCACCUCCUACACUUGCGGGGUGCGGCUCAGACCUGGUACUACGCCCUCAAACAGGACGAGGGUGGCAUGCCACCGUGGGAGCGGUUUCGCGACCUCUGCCUGGUGCGCUUCGGGCCUGCGGUUCGGGGCAACCGUUUGGCCGAGCUGGGCUGCCUGCCGUUCCUCACGAUGGUGCAGGACCUCGCCGACCGUUUCCUAGCUCUGGCGUGCCACGCCCCCGGCGUCUCGGGUCGCUAGCGAGCUGAACUGUUCGUGGGAGGGCUGCCCGACCACAUCUGCGUGGACGUCGAGAUGCGCGGGCCACAAGACCUUUAGACGGCCAUGUACUACACGCGUGGCUUCGAGCAUCGCGCGACGGCCAUGCAGCAGGCCGCUCCAUUGCGGGCCCCUCGCCAGGUGUCCCGGCCGCCACCUCCAGCGCCGACCUGGCCCCUGGCUGCAGCAGCACCCACGGUCGUGGCCCCGGCGCCCCCAUUCCGUCGGCUCACGCCGGUCGAGCAACUCGAGCGCCAUCGCCAGGGCCUCUGCUACAACUGUGACGAGCCCUACGUUCCCAGCCACGUGUGCCCCCGACUCUUCUACUUCGAGGCGUCCGACUAUGUCGAGGAUGACCUUGCCACCGCACUACCCGGCGCAGUAGCAGUCCAGCCAGGCGGGGAGGACGCAGCGGAGGCCGCUCAGGCUAACGCCUUCGCGGUCUCGCUUCACGCGCUCGCAGGGAUCCGGACAAAGAAGACCAUGCUGCUGCCCAUCUCGAUCAAGGGCGAGUGCCUCCUGGCGUUACUGGAUACCGGCUCCACCCAUAAUUUCUUCUCGGGAUCCACCAUCGCCGUCUCGUUUUCCAUCCUAUAGGCUGGGAACACCUCCGGAUUACUGUGGCCAAUGGGGAACGACUCCACUGCCAGGGCAUUGCUCGCGAGGUUCCUCUUGCGAUCGGUGACGAGCACUUCUCCAUCACGGGCGUCGGCCUCACCCUGGGCUGUUUGAUGUCAUCCUUGGCGUGGAUUUCCUGCGUACUUUGGGUCCUGUACUUUGGAAUUUCGACGCGAUGACCAUGGUCUUUUGGCGCCAGGGCCGCCGCGUCCGUUGGGAGGGCGUGCGGGGCGGUACUGCCGCAAGUCCCCAGCAACAGCUGAUGGCCACCUCCGCCGACUCGGCCCAGCCCCUGCUGGACCGCCUCUUGGAGCAACACGGUGACCUGUUUGAGCCUCCCCAGGGGCUCCCCCAGCCCGCGCCUAUGACCAUCACAUUCACCUGCUGUCGGGGACACCUCCAGUGUCCGCUCGUCCGUACCGCUACCCCCAGCUGCAGAAGGACGAACUCGAGCGCCAGCGCGCGGAGAUGCUUGCCGGCGGCUGACCACCUCUCCAUUUUCGGCACCAAUGCUUCUUGUACGGAAGGCCGAUGGCACGUGGCGUUUCUGCAUUGAUUAUCGGGCUCUCAACAUCAAGACCUCCAAGGAUAAAUUUCCUAUUCUGGUUGUUGAGGAACUCCUGGACGAGCUACACGGGGCAUGCUUCUUCACCAAGCUCGACCUCCGUUCCGGUUAUCAUCAGGUGCGGAUGCACCCGGACGAUAUUGCGAAGACAAUGUUUCGUACCCACCAUGGCCACUUCGAGUUCUUGGUGAUGCCUUUCGGCCUUGCCAACGCCCCGACGACGUUUCAGUCAUUGAUGACCGACGUCCUCCGCCCUUACGGCGGUUCGUGCUCGUUUUCUUCGACGACAUCCUCCUAUAUAGCUCGUCAUGGGCGGAGCAUGUGCAACACAUUGCCAUUGUCCUUAACGAGCUCCGGGCGCACCAUUUAUACCUCAAGCGCUCCAAGUGCUCGUUUGGCACUGCAUCCGUUGCUUACCUCGACCAUGUCAUCUCGGCGGAGGGUGUGGCCAUGGACGCCAACAAGGUCGACGCCGUUGCCACCUGGCCGACACCGCAAUCCCCGCGGGCUCUCCGCGGGUUCCUGGGGCUAGCCGGCUACUACCGCAAAUUUGUUCGCGAGUUUGGCCUCAUUACGGCCCCACUUACGCGGUUGCUGCGACGCGAUGAUGGAUAAGUCUAUGUACUAUGGUCUUUGUGGGGCUGCAGCACAUAGUCCCUUGUGGGGCUGCAACACAUGGUCCUUGUGGCUGUUAGGAUAGAAUCCUUGACCAUCAAGGACUGGCAGUUAGGAUAGCAUCUUAGCAUAUGCUUGGCUGGCUAGCAGCCUAUAAAUAUGUAUCCCCAACCCCUCAGGUUGGCAUGGUAUUGUGUGAGAAAUAAACCAAUGAAAAUUGUCCCAACUCUCCUAUUGUCAUCCACAACUAUCAAUGCUCAGGCUGAAAGGUCUAACAAGUGGUAUUAGAGCCUCGUUAUCUUGUACCCUGAGCAUUUCCUGCUCACCUCUCUCACCGGGAGCUGAGCAGCCUAAGCCGGUAGCAGCAGCUGCUCCGACUGCCCCUAGUUACCUCCCUCCCUCCGGACUGUCGAGCAGCAGCACGUCAGCAACAACCUCCUCUUCACACAACAGCCCCCUGCAGCGAGCCAUGUCUGCAGGUCGCUCUCAGCACACGGCUACCUCGAGCAUACGACGCCGGCAGGAGGCCGAGCGCGCCGUGGCAGAGGAGCGUGAGCGAGCAGCUGUAGCAGCAGCUGCUGCGGCAGCAAGGGUGUCGAGGCUGGCUGCAGCGGAGCUGGCAGCAGCCAGAGCAGAGGUAGAAGCAGCCAGGGCGGAGGUAGAAGCAGCAGCAGCGGAGGCAGCACGUGAGGCUACGACGGAUGCCAAGGCACUCCGCGGCAGCUCCGGCAGCUCCAACGGCUCCGUGCCUGCGGACGACGGCGCCGACGCAGACCGCGCCAAAGUGGCGCAAGAGCGGACGGCGCAGUGGGCAACGAGCACGCCCGCGCUCCAGGUGGAGGUGCGCACGGCGACGACGGCUGCAACGACCAGGACCGCGGCCUCUACGAGGUCCGGACUGUGGUCAGGGAUGUUGGUCCCAGUGUUGGGUGGCCUACCCUCACUAAAACCAACUACGUCGAGUGGGCCGCGAUCAUGAAGAUCAGGCUCCAGGUGCGGCGCCUGUGGGAGGCAGUCCAGGACAGCAACAUCGACCACCAAGAAGAUCGACGGGCGCUGGACGCCCUCAUCGCUGCAGUCCCGCCCGAGAUGCAGUUCUCGCUUUCCAACAAGCGGACUGCCAAGGAGGCUUGGGACGCCAUCGCCGUGGCACGCAUCGGCAGCGACCGUGCUCGCAAGUCCACACUGCAGGCACUUCGUAAGGAGUGGGAGAGCCUGGCUUUCAAGCCAGGUGAGGACGUUGAUGACUUUGCUCUCCGUCUCAACACUCUGCUGUAGAAGAUGGUGAAGUUCGGCGAUGCCACCUACACCGAGGAGAGAGUUGUCGAGAAGCUUUUCCGGUGCAUUCCCGAGAAGUACAAGCAGAUGGCUCGCUCGCUCGAGUCUUUGCUGGACCUCUCCACGAUGACGAUCGAGGAGGCGAUAGGUCGCCUCAAGGUCGUUGACACCGACGAGCCACAGCCUCCCUCGGGGCCCAUCACCACCGGCGGGAAGCUGCUCCUAACUCGGGAGCAGUGGGAUGCCAACCUUGGUGACAAGAAGAAGGGGGAGCCUUCUUCCACGACGGGCGGCCGCAAGCGCGGCAAGCAGCGCAAGGCGCGAAGGGGCGGCAAGGCACAAGGACGUGCCGAAGGUGACGCCCGCGGAGGCGCCAAGGACGGCGUCGCUGGCAAGCCCAAGCCGGCAUAGGACAACAGCUGCCACAACUGUGGCCGGCUUGGCCAUUGGGCCAAUGAGUGUCGACAACCACGACAAGGCCAGGCUCACGUCGCACAGGCGGAGGAGGAGACGGCUCUGUUCAUGGCGCAUGCAAGCAUCGAGCUACCUUCAGCGACACCAGUCACAAAGGCUCUCCUCCACGUCGACGAGCCAAAAGCACACGCUCUUCUCGGCGAUGGCUCCGGGAAGGACAAGACUGCGGGGUGGUGCCUCGAUACCGGCGCCACCCACCACAUGACCUGUCGAAGGGAAUUCUUCGCCGAGCUCGACUCCGACGCGCGAGGCUUCGUCAAGUUUGGGGAUGCCUCAACUGUGGAAAUUAAGGGCGUCGGCUCCGUCAUCUUCACCACCAAGACGGGAGAGCACCGACUGCUCACCGGUGUCUACUACAUCCCCGUGCUAAGGAACUCCAUCAUCAACUUGGGACAGCUGGAUGAGAACGGCUCACGCGUGCUGAUUGAGCAUGGGGUCCUACGCAUCUGGGAUCGCCAGCGUCGCCUUCUCGCCAAGGUACCCAGAGGUGAAAAUCGACUCUACGUCCUUGAUGUGCAGGUGGCACAACCGGUCUGUCUCGCUGUCCGUCGGGACGACGAGGCGUGGCAAUGGCAUGAGUGCUUUGGGCACCUUCAUUUUGAGGCCCUGAAGCGUCUAAGUGCCAAGGAGAUGGUGCGAGGCCUGCCAUGCCUCGACCAUGUGGAGCAGUUCUGCGGCAUCUGUGUGCUGACGAAGCAGAGACGACUCCCCUUUCCCCAGCAGGCGAGUUUUCGGGCCAAGGAGAGGCUGGAGCUCAUGCAUGGAGAUCUGUGCGGCCCGGUGACGCCAGCCACACCAGGAGGUCGACGCUACUUCCUGCUGCUCGUCGACGACCUCUCUCGCUACAUGUGGGUGAUGGUCCUCGGCAGUAAGGGAGAGGCGGCGGACGCCAUCAGGCGCGCGCAUGUUGCUGUGGAGGCGGAGAGCGGCCGCAAAAUGCGCGUGUUGCGCACUGACAACGGCAACGAAUUCACGGUGGCUGAAUUCGCAUCGUACUACGCUGAUGAGGGCAUCCAACGCCACUACUCCGCGCCGUACAACCCGCAGCAAAACGGCGUCGUCGAGCGGCGCAACCAGACGGUUGUGGGAUGGCUCGGGCUCUCCUCAAGCAGAGAGGGAUGCCGGCUGUUUUCUGGGGAGAGGCGGUGCUAACGGCCGUCUACAUCCUCAACCGCUCGCCUACUAAGGCACUCGACGGUAGGACGCCGUACGAGGCCUGGCAUGGGCGGAAGCCGACGGUCUCCCACUUGCGGGUCUUUGGCUGCCUUGCGUUCGCCAAAGAGCUCGGCCACAUCGGCAAGCUCGACGACAGGAGUACUUCGGGAGUCUUCAUCUGCUAUGCGGAGGGCUCAAAGGCCUACCGCAUCCUUGACCCAGAGACACAGCGUGUGUGCACGGCGCGAGACGUCGUGUUCAACGAAGGGCGAGGGUGGAAAUGGGACAAGGAGGUAGACGACGGCUCGACGCCGACGUAUGACGACUUUCGAGUAAGUCCACUUCAAGGAAGCUGGGGGAGCAAGCAGCUCCUCUUCGCCGAGCACGUCUACCGCAGCCCCCAAAACUACAUCGACUCCGGUGCCUGCUACGCCGACGGCACCACAACCGGCGACGCCGCAUACUCCAGCCCCGGCAGUCACCACUCCGGGCUCGUCUUCAUCAUCACCAGCUCACGCAGAGCACAACCCGAUGAAGUUCGCUUCCCCGCUCACUCACGACGAGGAGCGCAUCGACGCGUAUCAUAGCGGCAGACCGCUGUGGUAUCGUACGAUGGAUAAUCUACUCGGCGACCAGCCGGUGCCGGGACUGGUGCCACGCGACCUGGAGGCGCAGCUACAACUCGCGUGUGAGGACGGCGAACCUCGGUCCUUUGCAGAGGCCGAGAGAGACACGGCAUGGCGCGCCGCGAUGCAGGUGGAGAUGGAUGCGGUCGAGGAGAACCGCACCUGGGAGCUCGCUGACCUCCCUCGUGAUCACCGCGCAAUCACCCUUAAGUGGGUGUUCAAGCCGAAGAGGGAUGGAGCCGGCGCCAUCAUCAAGCACAAGGCUCGCUUGGUGGCCCGAGGCUUCUUGCAGCAGGAAGGAGUCGACUUCGACGACGCUUUCGCUCCCGUGGCACGGAUGGAGUCCGUGCGACUUCUCCUUGCGCUAGCUGCCCAGGAGGGCUGGCGUGUCCAUCACAUGGAUGUCAAGUCGGCAUUCCUCAACGGCGACUUGAAGGAGGAAGUCUAUGUGCAUCAGCCAUCGGGAUUUGCGAUCCCCGGCCAGGAGGGCAAGGUACUCCGCCUGCGUAAGGCUCUCUACGGCCUACGGCAGGCACCUAGGGCGUGGAACGCCAAGCUGGACUCCACGCUAAAGAAGAUGGGCUUCGAGCAAAGCCCGCAUGAGGCGGCCGUCUACCGACGGGGCAGUGGAGGAAAUGCCCUGCUGGUGGGCGUCUAUGUUGACGACUUGGUGAUCACCGGUAUCAAAGAUGCAGAGGUGGCGGCGUUCAAGGAAGACAUGAAGGCCACCUUCCAGAUGAGUGAUCUGGGGCUCCUCUCCUUCUAUCUAGGGAUCGAGGUGCACCAGGAUCACUCCGGGAUCGCGCUUCGACAGUCCGCCUACGCCAAGCGCAUCGUUGAGCUAGCUGGGCUCACCGACUGCCACCCAGCCCUCACUCCGAUGGAGGAGAGGCUGAAACUGAGCCGCGACAGCACGACGGAGGAAGUGGACGCUACACAGUACCGACGCCUUGUGGGGAGCCUUCGCUACCUCGCCCACACACGGCCGGACUUGGCAUUCUCCGUGGGCUAUGUUAGUCGGUUCAUGGAGCGACCGACGUCGGAGCACCAGCAGGCAGUGAAGAGGAUCGUCCGCUACGUGGCAGGGACACUCGACCACGGCCUCCACUACCCUAGGUGUCCGGGGGCGGCACACUUCGUCGGGUACAGCGACAGCGACCACGCCGGCGACAUCGACACCAGCAAGAGCACGAGAGGGAUCCUCUUCUUCCUCGGCAAGUGUCUCGUGAGCUGGCAAUCGGUCAAGCAACAGGUGGUGGCCCUGUCCAGCUAUGAGGCCGAGCGGCCUCCACCGCCUGCACUCAGGCGCUCUGGCUCGCUCGAUUGCUUGGUGAUCUCCUCGUCCGAGAUACCAGAACGGUGCAGCUCCUGGUGGACAGCAAGUCCGCCCUGGCCCUGGCAAAGAACCCCGUUUUCCACGAACGGAGCAAGCACAUCCGACUGAGGUAUCACUUCAUCCGCAGCUGUUUGGAAGAAGGGAGCAUCGAGGCGAGCUACAUCAACACCACGGACCAGUUCGCAGACCUGCUCACCAAGCCUCUUGGGAGGAUCAAGUUCCUCGAACUCUGCUCCAGGAUUGGGAUGAUUCGACUCUCCCACAAGACGACGUACAAGACUUAGGGGGAGAAUGGUGGAUAAGUCUAUGUACUAUGGUCUUUGUGGGGCUGCAGCACAUAGUCCCUUGUGGGGCUGCAGCACAUGGUCCUUGUGGCUGUUAGGAUAGAAUCCUUGACCAUCAAGGACUGGCAGUUAGGAUAGCAUCUUAGACUAGCAUCUUAGCAUAUGCUUGGCUGGCUAGCAGCCUAUAAAUAUGUAUCCCCAACCCCUCAGGUUGGCAUGGCAUUGUGUGAGAAAUAAACCAACGAAAAUUGUCCCAACUCUCCUAGUGUCAUCCACAACUAUCAAUGCUCAGGCUGAAAGGUCUAGCACGCGACGCUUUCGCAUGGGACACCGAAGCGGCUGAAGCUUUCUAGGCGCUCAAACACGCGCUCACCAUUGGGCCAGAUUUUGACCAGCUCUUCACCGUGGACUGCGACGCCUCCGGCUGGGGUUCGGCGCCGUCCUCCAUCAGGGGGCAGGCCCCCUCGCUUUCUUCAGUCGUCCUUUUGCUGCACACCAUCACAAGCUCGCCGCUUAUGAGCGGGAGCUCAUCGGGCUGGUACAUGCGAUGCGUCACUGUCGUCUAUAUUUGUAGGGGCGGUCGUUUCUUAUCCGCACGGAUCACUACAGCUUCAAGUUCUUGCUGGACCAGCGGCUCUCUACCGUUCCGCAGCAUCAGCGGAUCAACAAGCUCUUUGGGUUUGACUUCACCGUCGAGUAUCGCUAGGGCCAGCUCAACGCCGUGGCAGAUGCGCUGUCUCGCCGCGACUCCGAUCAGGCGGUCCUUACCGGUGAUUCGGAGGGAGCGGCUCUCUGCAUCUGCUCCGGGCCGUCCUUCUCCUUCAUUGACGAGAUGCGCCGUGCCACAACGACUUCGGCGGACGCACAACUGCUACAACAGCAGCUCCAGGAGGGGGCGCUGCUUGAGCCGUGGCGCCUGGAGGGCGGCUUGCUUCUCCACGGGCGACGCCUAUUUGUGCCGAACCACGACGACCUUCGUCACCAGAGUCUGGUCCUCGCCCACUCGGCCGGUCAUGAAGGGGUGCAGAAGACGCUGCAUUGCCUUCGCACCGACUUCUUCAUCCCCGGCGACCGCGUGUUGGUGCAGGAUUGGGUUUGGUCUUGCGUAAUUUGUCAACGCAACAAGACUGAAAUGGUGCGGCCGAACUGCUGCAACCCCUUGAGGCUCCCUCGCAGGUAUGGGCUGAUAUCUCCAUGGAUUUCAUCGAGGGUCUUCCCAAGGUGGGCAGCAAGUCCGUCAUUCUCACGGUGGUCGACCGCUUCUCCAAGUACGCGCACUUCAUCGCGCUCGGUCACCCCUACACCGCCACCACGGUCGCGCGAGCCUUCUUCGACGGAAUAGUCCGUCUCCACGGCUUUCCUUCGUCGAUCGUCAGCGACCGCCACCCAGUGUUUACUGGCCAUGUCUGGCGUGAUCUCUUCAAGAUGGCGGGCGUCAAGUUGGGCUUAAGCACAACAUUCCAUCCUCAGACCGACGGCCAGUCGGAGGUGGUUAACAAGGUGAUUGCUAUGUACUUGCGCUGUGUCACAGGUGAGCGCCCGCAUGCAUGGGUGGACUGGCUCGCUUGGGCGGAGUACCGCUACAACACCUCCCACCACUCCGCCUUGCGUGCCACUCCGUUCGAGGUCGUCUAUGGCCGUCCCCCACCGCCCAUUCUGCCGUUCCAGGAGGGAGCGGCGAAGACCGAGGCGGCCGGUGCGCUUCUCCGCAGCAGGGAUGAGAUCCUUGCGGAGGUGCGUCAGCGCCUCCUCCAGGCGCAACAACUCUCAAAGAAGUACUACGACGCCCAUCAUCGCGAUGCAGAGUUUGUGGUGGGCGAUUGGGUGUGGUUGUGGCUCCUCCCCCGCACCACGCAGUCGCUUGACCCGCGGGCUAGGCGCAAGCUCGGGCCGUGCUAUGCCGGGCCGUUUCAGGUCUUGGAGCGCAUCGGCCACGUCGCCUACCGGCUGCCGUUGCCCCCGGGUGCCCGCAUCCAUGAUGUCUUCCAUGUGGGGCUGUUGAAGCAGUUCCGCGGUGAUCCACCGGCGACUUUGCCGGCUCUUCCACCAGUGGCCAACGGCCGUCUCCUUCCAGGCCUGGAGAAGGUCUUGAAGACCCAGCUCAGCCGCGGAGUUUGACGCCUUUUGAUUCAGUGGGCCGGCCUUCCCAUAGGAGGAUGCCACUUGGGAGCAGCUCGAGGAGUUUCGCCAGCAUUUUCUAGACUUCCAGCUUCCAGCUCGAGGACGAGCUGUUUGCGUAGGCGGGGAGAGAUGUUAUGAUCGGCCAGGUUUUGUAGCCGACGGGCCAAGGGCAGUAGGCCCAAUAGCAGUUAGGGGCUUAGCCCAGUUAUCUUAUUUUUAUUAGCAACUAUGAGAUUAUAAAUACUCAUGUAAUCACCUAAUUUGGAAUUAAGAAGUAGCAAACCUAUUUGCUCGGCUUCUGCCGGGAGACCCCAAAACCCUAGCCGCCGACGGUGGCCGAUCUCCUCACACGAUCACAGCGCCGUCGCCCGCGUUCUCCACCUCGCUAACCCUCCAAUCACCCAUAUAACCUACGCCCUCGCCCUGGUAGGAGGCCAGCUCCUAUCACCCUGCUUUUGGAAUAUAUCACUAAAAAUAUGUAGGUUUCACCCAAAUUUUAUGCCUCUUAUCUCUAGCCUACCCCGACUUGCUUGGGACAAAAGGCUCGGGAGAGACU
rnacentral:lncRNA from 1 species